rnacentral:misc_RNA from 1 species
GAACUGCGAUAAGUAAUGUGAAUUGCAGAAUUCAGUGAAUCAUCGAGUCUUUGAACGCACAUUGCGCCCCCUGGCAUUCCGGGGGGCAUGCCUGUCCGAGCGUCAUUGCUGCCCUUCAAGCCCGGCUUGUGUGUUGGGUCGUCGUCCCCUCCGGGGGACGGGCCCGAAAGGCAGCGGCGGCACCGCGUCCGGUCCUCGAGCGUAUGGGGCUUUGUCACCCGCUCGAUAAGGACCGGCCGGACGCCAGCCGGCGUCUCCAACCUUUUUUUCUCAGGUUGACCUCGGAUCAGGUAGGGAUACCCGCUGAACUUAAGC